rnacentral:rRNA from 1 species
GUAGGUGGCAAGCGUUGUCCGGAAUUAUUGGGGCGUAAGGCGCGCGCAGGCGGUUCUUUAAGUCUGAUGUGAAAGCCCACGGGCUCAACCGUGGAGGGUCAUUGGAAACUGGAGAACUUGAGUACAGAAGAGGAAAGCGGAAUUCCACGUGUAGCGGUGAAAUGCGUAGAGAUGUGGAGGAACACCAGUGGCGAAGGCGGCUUUCUGGUCUGUAACUGACGCUGAGGCGCGAAAGCGUGGGGAGCAAACAGGAUUAGAUACCCUGGUAGUCCACGCCGUAAACGAUGAGUGCUAAGUGUUAGGGGGUUUCCGCCCCUUAGUGCUGCAGCUAACGCAUUAAGCACUCCGCCUGGGGAGUACGGCCGCAAAGGCUG